UACGUAGGGGGCGAGCGUUGUCCGGAUUUACUGGGCGUAAAGCGCGUGUAGGCGGCGGCUUAAGUCGGGUGUGAAAGCCCGGGCUCAACCCCGGGAUGGCCGCCCGACGACUGGAUCGCUUGAGGACGGAAGAGGGCGUGGAAUUCCUGGUGUAGCGGUGAAAUGACGUAGAGAUCAGGAGGAACACCCGUGGCGAAGGCGGCGCCCUGGUCCGUUACUGACGCUGAGACGCGAAAGCGCGGGGAGCGAACGGG
rnacentral:rRNA from 1 species